CUUCUCUUCUGCAGAUAAAUUCCAAGGGUACGACAUGGUGGGGAUAGGCAACAUAUCCAUCAGCUACAGACAGUGGCUCCACAUGACCAUGUACAACUGAGCUGCUCCAAUCAGACGCAAGCAUCAGGGAUCACUUUGUUAAAUAUCCUUCUCUAUUUCUUUAUUUUUUUACAAAAAAUGUUCACAUGCAUGAAAGUAAAUGUUGUGGGCUAUGGGUAUAGUUUAAACUUGGGAGAAAGUCUGUUAAAUGUAUGCAAAGGUUAAAUGAUUUAUAUAUAGUUGUGUACAAUUAUGCUUUAGAAAAGGGCUAUGGUUAAAAAUGAAGGUUGAACGUUUUCUGUGUGCUUAUGACCCCACCUCCGCACUGCUCCUGCAUGGAGGUUUUUAUUUACUGUAAUUAUGGGAUUAAUGACACAUGGGAAAAGGACCCCCAAUGAGAAGUGGGUGUCAGAUUAAAGUGUUUUUAUUUUGCAGUCAGUUGAGUAAUAUUCCCAUGAAUAAAAUACCUUAGUUGGCUUUAGACUGGUUGAAAAAGUGCCUUACUGUGGGAACUCUUUGAAGACUCUAAAUGUACAGGUUAGUUCAGAGAUAGAAACAUGUAGCAAACUAAGCCUUCAUAAUUGUGUCCGUGAAUUUUCAACUACUCUCCAAGAUGAUAUUGUGACACCUGUACCCAACAGAUCUAUAUCAGACAACCAAAGAAUAUACAUGGAUUGAUUUUGCCAUGUUGCAAGCAACAGGAGUGCUAAGGUUUUAGCAGCUGCACCUUGUUUGAUAAAGAAUAGGGGAGUUGUGUUUGUAAUAUAUUUUGCGCAGCAUAUUGCAUAACAAUGCUGAUAAUUGUACACUGAAAGUACAUAAUGACAUUGUUAAUAAAAAAGUAUAAAAACUAAA